CAGGACCCCCUGGAUGUGGCAGCAUUCACAGAUGAAAAUGCAGCAUGGAGAGGGGACCCAUCAUGACCGAGCUCCACACCCAGCAGGUGGUGCAGCCUGGAGCAGACUCAGUCCAAGUUGCUUGUGCCUGUCCCUGGAAGUGCCUGGCUCAUUCAGACUGAAGGUGUGCCCGGGGAAGACGUGAGGCCGCUAGCAAACGGCCUGCUGUGCACAUGGCCCAGUGCUCGCCUUGGAAAAUGACUGUAGCAUGUGACAGACCAUGUGGGAGGCAUCAUCCACCCGGGAUAGCCGGGAAGCUGCCCAGACGAGGGGCACGGAGCCCAGGAUUAGGAGACGAAGAAGAAGAUGAUGAGACAAAGUCAUUUCCUAGAGGAUCCAAGCGGGAGGGCUUUCUAAGAAUGCCACACAAUCCAGGAGCUAGAUCUACGGCUUAUACAGUCGAUUCUUGGAUCUGGGGGAGUCAUGCUUUGUAGUCUCUUCGAACACUGAAUUAGCGAAUCCCAAACCAUUGUGUCCCAGCAAAACACAACACACUUUCCAAUCAGCUCCAUGUACAGAUCGGCACACUUCCUCUCCUCUUUCUGGAUGGGCAGUUGAUUCGUUAACAGGGAACCUCAGUCAACAGCACCAUAACUCACAUGUGAUGGAAGCUUCUCUAAUACACAUUUUCUCCCCUAGGCACAUCACAGCUUCUCUAUGCUUAAGAACACAGGGCAGCUCUUCAGCAUGGUGCCU
rnacentral:lncRNA from 10 species